rnacentral:rRNA from 1 species
AAAGAUUUCCUUCGGGAGAUUGAGUAUACUGGCGAACGGGUGAGUAACGCGUAGGUAACCUGCCUUUGUGAGUGGGAUAACAUCGAGAAAUCGUUGCUAAUACCGCAUAACAUUCUUUCAUCGCCUGGUGAUGAGAAUCAAAGAUGCUUUUGUAUCGCGCAAAGAUGGGCCUGCGUUCCAUUAGUUAGUUGGUAAGGUAACGGCUUACCAAGGCAGCGAUGGAUAGCUGACCUGAGAGGGUGAUCAGCCACACUGGGACUGAGAUACGGCCCAGACUCCUACGGGAGGCAGCAGUGAGGAAUAUUGCGCAAUGGAGGAAACUCUGACGCAGCAACGCCGCGUGGGGGAUGAAGCACUAUGGUGUGUAAACCCCUGUAGAAUGGGACGAACGAUAUGUAUUCGUAAGGGUAUGUAUGUGACGGUACCGUUAAAGUAAGCACCGGCUAGCUCCGUGCCAGCAGCCGCGGUAAUACGGGGGGUGCAAGCGUUGUCCGGAAUUACUGGGCGUAAAGGGCGUGUAGGCGGCUUGAUAAGUCAGAUGUGAAAGCCCACGGCUUAACCGUGGAACUGCAUUUGAAACUGUCAGGCUUGAGUAUGAGAUGGGGUAGUGGAAUUCCCAGUGUAGCGGUGAAAUGCGUAGAUAUUGGGAAGAACACCGGUAGCGAAGGCGGCUACCUGGCUCAUUACUGACGCUAAUGCGCGAAAGCUAGGGGAGCAAACGGGAUUAGAUACCCCGGUAGUCCUAGCUGUAAACGAUGGAUACU